UACGGGGGGAGCAAGCGUUGUUCGGAUUUACUGGGCGUAAAGGGCGCGUAGGCGGCGCAACAAGUCACUUGUGAAAUCUCCGGGCUUAACUCGGAACGGUCAAGUGAUACUGUUGUGCUAGAGUGCGGAAGGGGCAACUGGAAUUCUCGGUGUAGCGGUGAAAUGCGUAGAUAUCGAGAGGAACACCUGCGGCGAAGGCGGGUUGCUGGGCCGGCACUGACGCUGAUGCGCGAAAGCCAGGGGAGCGAACGGG
rnacentral:rRNA from 1 species